GCUCGUGUAGCUCAGUGGUUAGAGCUUCGUGCUUAUAGAUGAACUCGGUUCUCCGAAUCACUCUGUGAAAUUGGCCUUUCAAUAGGUCUUAAGCAACGCGACCGUCAUGGGUUCGAACCCCAUCUCGAGCA
rnacentral:tRNA from 2 species